GCGUAAUUGGUUUAGUGGUAAAAUUCUCCGUUGCCAUUCGAGUAACGUCGGAGAGCCCAGGGUUCGAUUCCCUGAUUACGCA
rnacentral:tRNA from 1 species